GCUUACGGCCAUACCACCUUAGGCACGCCCGAUCUCGUCUGAUCUCGGAAGCUAAGCAGGGUCGGGCCAGGUUAGUACUUGGAUGGGUGACCGCCUGGGAAUACCAGGUGCUGCAAGCA
rnacentral:rRNA from 10 species